ACGGGUGAGUAACACGUGAGCAACCUACCCCUGACUCUGGGAUAAGCGCUGGAAACGGCGUCUAAUACUGGAUACGAGUGGCGACCGCAUGGUCAGCUACUGGAAAGAUUUAUUGGUUGGGGAUGGGCUCGCGGCCUAUCAGCUUGUUGGUGAGGUAAUGGCUCACCAAGGCGUCGACGGGUAGCCGGCCUGAGAGGGUGACCGGCCACACUGGGACUGAGACACGGCCCAGACUCCUACGGGAGGCAGCAGUGGGGAAUAUUGCACAAUGGGCGCAAGCCUGAUGCAGCAACGCCGCGUGAGGGAUGACGGCCUUCGGGUUGUAAACCUCUUUUAGCAGGGAAGAAGCGAAAGUGACGGUACCUGCAGAAAAAGCGCCGGCUAACUACGUGCCAGCAGCCGCGGUAAUACGUAGGGCGCAAGCGUUAUCCGGAAUUAUUGGGCGUAAAGAGCUCGUAGGCGGUUUGUCGCGUCUGCUGUGAAAUCCGGAGGCUCAACCUCCGGCCUGCAGUGGGUACGGGCAGACUAGAGUGCGGUAGGGGAGAUUGGAAUUCCUGGUGUAGCGGUGGAAUGCGCAGA
rnacentral:rRNA from 2 species